GACGAACGCUGGCGGCGUGCCUAACACAUGCAAGUCGAGCGGAGGUACAGCAAGAGCAAUCUGGCGGUACCUGAGCGGCGGACGGGUGAGUAACGCGUGAGCAACCUGCCUAUCACAGGGGGAUAAGACGGCGAAAGCCGGUCUAAUACCGCAUGAGACCAAACUAUCGCACGAUAGAGGGGUCAAAGGAGCAAUCCGGUGAGAGAUGGGCUGGCGUCCGAUUAGGUAGUUGGUGAGGUAACGGCCCACCAAGCCAAUGAUCGGUAGCCGGCCUGGGAGGGUGAACGGCAACAUUAGAACGGAGAGACGGUCCAAACUCCUACGGGAGGCAGCAGUGGGGAAUAUUGGGCAAUGGGGGAAACCCUGACCCAGCAACGCCGCGUGAGGGAAGAAGGUUUUCGGAUUGUAAACCUCUGUUCUUGGUGAAGAGAAGAAGACGGUAGCCAAGGAGGAAGCCCCGGCUAACUACGUGCCAGCCGCCGCCGUAAGAC
rnacentral:rRNA from 1 species